UACGUAGGGGGCAAGGCGUUGUCCGGAUUUAUUGGGCGUAAAGAGCGUGUAGGCGGCCAGGUAGGUCAGCUGUGAAAACUCGAGGCUCAACCUCGAGACGCCGGUUGAAACCAUCUGGCUAGAGUCCGGAAGAGGAGAGUGGAAUUCCUGGUGUAGCGGUGAAAUGCGCAGAUAUCAGGAAGAACACCCGUGGCUAAGGCGGCUCUCUAGUACGGUACUGACGCUGAGACGCGAAAGCGUGGGGAGCGAACAGG
rnacentral:rRNA from 1 species